UACGUAGGUGGCAAGCGUUGUCCGGAUUUACUGGGCGUAAAGCGCCCGCAGGCGGCUUGGCAAGUUUGGGGUGAAAUCUCCCGGCUCAACUGGGAGGGUGCCUCGAAAACUGCCAGGCUUGAGGCAUGGAGAGGGAUGCGGAAUUCCCGGUGUAGUGGUGAAAUGCGCAGAUAUCGGGAAGAACACCCGUGGCGAAGGCGGCUCUCUGGGACGGUACUGACGCUGAGACGCGAGAGCGUGGGGAGCGAACAGG
rnacentral:rRNA from 1 species